GGAGGAUUCGCCUAGUGGCCUAUGGCGCGCGCUUGGAAAGCGCGUUGGGGUAACACCCUCAGGGGUUCGAAUCCCCUAUCCUCCGCCA
rnacentral:tRNA from 2 species